rnacentral:rRNA from 1 species
GUGCACCAGGCGCGAAACCUCCGCAAUGCGGGAAACCGCGACGGGGUCAGCCGGAGUGCUCGCGCAUCGCGCGGGCUGUCGGGGUGCCUAAAAAGCACCCCAUAGCAAGGGCCGGGCAAGGCCGGUGGCAGCCGCCGCGGUAAUACCGGCGGCCCGAGUGGCGGCCACUUUUAUUGGGCCUAAAGCGUCCGUAGCCGGGCUGGUAAGUCCUCCGGGAAAUCUGGUCGCUUAACGAUCAGACUUCCGGAGGAUACUGCCAGCCUAGGGACCGGGAGAGGCCGGGGGUAUUCCCGGGGUAGGGGUGAAAUCCUGUAAUCCCGGGAGGACCACCUGUGGCGAAGGCGCCCGGCUGGAACGGGUCCGACGGUGAGGGACGAAGGCCAGGGGAGCGAACCGGAUUAGAUACCCGCGUAGU